CUCACGCUUUAUAUGCUCUAGCAUGUGAAAGAUAACACGAUGAAGACACCGUCUAGUUUGUUAAUGAAAGGAAAACAAUAGAAUACAAGGAAUUUAAAUGUGAAUAUGACUAAGAGAAAAACUUAUGUAGAGAGUUAUAUUUCUUUGAAAAGAAUCAGAGAAUGCAUAAAACCUACAAUUGAAAAACUGAAAUAGAUCAUGGUACUACUUUUAAGUCAUGAUUCUAACAAUGGUAAUUGUUCAAAAUAAUUCAAAGAAGAUAUACAGGAAACAAAUAUUGCAGUCCUAAAGCAACAAACUGAUACUCCUUGCAUUAGGAGCUUGAAAUUCCAGUGAAAGGUGAGAAGGAUCGUGAAAGAGAGCUUGGAUUCUAGGCUCGUUCAAGUGAAGUGAAGUAAGUCAUCAAUUGACUAGAGGCAUACAUAUAUGUCUUUUAUUUCAAAGUAUUGGAAUAGACUAAGUAUUUUUAUAUUUUGAAGUAUGGGCCUUGUCCCAAAGUAUUCUAUGUAUUGGUUUGAUGAAAUUGAGACUUAGUAGUUCCUACGAUUUCUGUUGAAGGAUGUUAUUAAACAUGUUCUAAUAUUUUUUACAAAGUUUUAAUUCUGCACUACUUUUCAUCAUGUAAAUGCAAUUAACGAUACAGAAAGGGCUUGUACAAGACCUCCGAGAGGUCAAGUACAUCUAUUGCAAUAUGAGAUUGGCCCUAAAUUCAAGGGUGUGGUUUCGGGAA